rnacentral:rRNA from 1 species
GGUUGAUCCUCCCCGUAGUCAUAUGCUUGUUUUAAGGAUUAAGCCAUGCAUGUCUCUGGUCAAGCGAUCUUGUACCGUGGAACUGGGAACGGCUCAUUUCAACCGUUCUUGUUUAUUUGAUCCUGCGGAGCUACGUGGAUAACCGUAGGAAUUCCAGAGAUAAUACAUGCCCCGUCGCCGCAGAUCUAACCCUAGACCUUGGCGGGGUUUAUUAGAUCAAAAACCAAUCGCUUCCUGUUUUUUUUUACAGUAAGCGUGGCCGGAUGAAUCAUAAUAACUUUACCGAAUCACAUGGCCGUGAUUUUGGCCGGUGAUAAAUCAUUCAAAUUUUUGCCCUAUCAACUUUUCAUGGUAGGGUAGUGGCCUACCAUGGUGUUGGCGGGUAACGGAGAAUUAGGGUUCGAUUCCGGGGAGGGAGCCUGAGAAACGGCUACCCCAUCCAAGGAAGGCAGCAGGCGGGCCAAUUACCCAAUCCUGAUUCCGGGAGGUAGCGACAAGAAAUAACGAUAGCGGGCUCGUUCGAGUCCGCGCAUCAAAGGGGGGAUAAUUUACACCCCUUCUCGAGGAUCCAUUGGC